UUGUCUCAAAGAUUAAGCCAUGCAUGUCUCAGUACAAGCCAAAAUAAGGUGAAACCGCGAAAGGCUCAUUAAAUCAGUUAUGGUUCCUUAGAUCGUACCACACAUUUACUUGGAUAACUGUGGUAAUUCUAGAGCUAAUACAUGCAAACAGAGUUCCAACCAGAAAUGGAAGGAACGCUUUUAUUAGAUCAAAACCAAUCGGUAGCGGGUGUGCGUUCACGCGUAUACUCGUUAUCGUACAAUUUGGUGACUCUGAAUAACUUUAUGCUGAUCGCAUGGUCUUGCACCGGCGACGCAUCUUUCAAAUGUCUGCCUUAUCAACUGUCGAUGGUAGGUUCUGCGCCUACCAUGGUUGUAACGGGUAACGGGGAAUCAGGGUUCGAUUCCGGAGAGGGAGCCUGAGAAACGGCUACCACAUCCAAGGAAGGCAGCAGGCGCGCAAAUUACCCACUCCCGGCACGGGGAGGUAGUGACGAAAAAUAACGAUACAAGACUCAUCCGAGGCCUUGUAAUCGGAAUGAGUACACUUUAAAUCCUUUAACGAGGAUCAAUUGGAGGGCAAGUCUGGUGCCAGCAGCCGCGGUAAUUCCAGCUCCAAUAGCGUAUAUUAAAGUUGUUGCGGUUAAAAAGCUCGUAGUCGAAUCUGUGUCCCACACCGUUGGUUCAUCCUUCGGGGUGUUAACUGGCGUGUUUGUGGGACGUCCUGCCGGUGGGCUUAGCCUGCUUCGCAUCUCAUGCGUCGCAAUACUAGUAUCCUAGCGGUGCUAGCUGUUGUGUGCGUAUGUUGGUGUGUUGUCUAUGGCGGCUCAAUACAAAAUCCCGCUUCGGUGCUCUUCACUGAGUGUCGUGGUGGGCCGGCACGUUUACUUUGAACAAAUUAGAGUGCUUAAAGCAGGCCAAAAUUUUGCCUGAAUAUUCUGUGCAUGGAAUAAUGGAAUAGGAUCUCGGUUCUAUUUUGUUGGUUUCCGGAACCCCGAGAUAAUGAUUAAUAGGUACGGAUGGGGACAUUCGUAUUGCGACGUUAGAGGUGAAAUUCUUGGAUCGUCGCAAGACGGACAUAAGCGAAAGCAUUUGUCAAAAACGCUUUCAUUGAUCAAGAACGAAAGUUAGAGGUUCGAAGGCGAUCAGAUACCGCCCUAGUUCUAACCAUAAACGAUGCCAGCUAGCGAUCCGCCAAAGUUCCUCCGAUGACUUGGCGGGCAGCUUCCGGGAAACCAAAGCUUUUGGGUUCCGGGGGAAGUAUGGUUGCAAAGCUGAAACUUAAAGGAAUUGACGGAAGGGCACCACCAGGAGUGGAGCCUGCGGCUUAAUUUGACUCAACACGGGAAACCUCACCAGGCCCAGACCUGGAAGGAUUGACAGAUUGAGAGCUCUUUCUUGAUUCAGUGGGUGGUGGUGCAUGGCCGUUCUUAGUUGGUGGAGCGAUUUGUCUGGUUAAUUCCGAUAACGAACGAGACUCUGGCCUACUAAAUAGGCGUAAAUUAGCGACAUCUCAAAGGCUCGCCUUCACAUCUUUUACUUGUGUGUCUCACAAUGUAUUUGUAGUGUGUGUAUGUAAGUAUGUGCCUGUAAAAGGGUUCAUGCCCAUGCACAUUGCUGCUGGUGCUUGUGUGUUCUAUGCAUGUGAUUGUGUGUUGUGCGCAGUUUUUACUGUCGGCGUAUAAACAAAUCUUCUUAGAGGGACAGGUGGCUUCUAGCCGCACUAGAAUGAGCAAUAACAGGUCUGUGAUGCCCUUAGAUGUUCUGGGCCGCACGCGCGCUACACUGAAGGAAUCAGCGUGUCUUCCCUGACCGAAUGGUCCGGGUAACCCGUUGAAUCUCCUUCGUGCUAGGGAUUGUGGCUUGCAAUUGUUCCACAUGAACGAGGAAUUCCCAGUAAGCGUGAGUCAUAAGCUCGCGUUGAUUACGUCCCUGCCCUUUGUACACACCGCCCGUCGCUACUACCGAUUGAAUGAUUUAGUGAGGUCUUCAGAUUGGUACACGUUGCCGCUUCGGCGUUUGACGUUGCUGCUGAGAAGAUGACCAAACUUGAUCAUUU
rnacentral:rRNA from 1 species